rnacentral:rRNA from 1 species
CUACGGGCCGCAGCAGUGGGGAAUAUUGCACAAUGGGCGCAAGCCUGAUGCAGCCAUGCCGCGUGUAUGAAGAAGGCCUUCGGGUUGUAAAGUACUUUCAGCGGGGAGGAAGGGAGUAAAGUUAAUACCUUUGCUCAUUGACGUUACCCGCAGAAGAAGCACCGGCUAACUCCGUGCCAGCAGCCGCGGUAAUACGGAGGGUGCAAGCGUUAAUCGGAAUUACUGGGCGUAAAGCGCACGCAGGUGGUUUGUUAAGUCAGAUGUGAAAUCCCCGGGCUCAACCUGGGAACUGCAUCUGAUACUGGCAAGCUCGAGUCUCGUAGAGGGGGGUAGAAUUCCAGGUGUAGCGGUGAAAUGCGUAGAGAUCUGGAGGAAUACCGGUGGCGAAGGCGGCCCCCUGGACGAAGACUGACGCUCAGGUGCGAAAGCGUGGGGAGCAAACAGGAUUAGAUACCCUUGUAGUC